rnacentral:rRNA from 1 species
UAAUACGGAAGAUGCGAGCGUUAUCCGGAUUUAUUGGGUUUAAAGGGAGCGUAGGCGGACGCUUAAGUCUGCGGUAAAAUGGCCGUGCUCAACGCGGUCCCGCCGUGGAAACUGGGUGUCUUGAAUGUGCACAAGGAAGGUGGAAUUCGUGGUGUAGCGGUGAAAUGCUUAGAUAUCACGAAGAACUCCGAUUGCGAAGGCAUCCUUCUGGGGCAUGAUUGACGCUGAGGCUCGAAAGCGCGGGUAUCAAACAGGAUUAGAUACCCUGGUAGUCCGCGCCGUAAACGAUGAAUACCCGUCGUUGGCGAUACACGGUCAGCGACCAAGCGAAAGCAUUAAGUAUUCCACCUGGGGAGUACGCCGGCAACGGUGAAACUCAAAGGAAUUGACGGGGGCCCGCACAAGCGGAGGAACAUGUGGUUUAAUUCGAUGAUACGCGAAGAACCUUACCCGGGCUUGAACUGCACAGGACGGAAGAGAGAGAACUCUUCCUUCUUCGACUGUGUUGAAGUGCUGCAU